rnacentral:tRNA from 1 species
GGGCGAGUGGCGGAAUGGCAGACGCGAUGGACUCAAAAUCCAUUGAUGGCAACAUCAUGAGAGUUCAAGUCUCUCCUCGCCCACCA